rnacentral:lncRNA from 1 species
CUUCCUCAGAAGUACACAAGUUCACUCCUGCUUAUGUUUUUAAUCAAAUUUUUGACCUUUAAUUUCAGGUGGUUGAUUUUUGUAAAUCUUCUAAUUUUUUUUGUGGUAAUAACAAAGCAUUUAAAACAAAUACUAGCCAGCAGACCAAACCUACUUUACGUCAUUAAUAUUACCUUCUGAUCUUCAGUGGGUCAGCAAGAUUUCAUUCUGACCUGGCACUGCCUAAAAAUCAUUACAGAAGAAAAAUACAAAGCAUAACUUGGAACAGACUGCUCGAGGAGGCCUUGAAGUCUCCAGCCCUGGGGCUGGUUAAGAAUACGUUUGAGAAAUGUUAUUCACAAAUGAAACGCGUGGGCCUACUGCCACACUAGACCCAGGGUGAAAGCUCUGGCUUGGAAAAAAAAACUGGGCCAGCCCCAGGCUCCCACUCGAAGCAGAACAGGCACACCCACCGUGCCUCUGAACACAGGUAACCAGGCCUGUUGAGGGGCUAAGGCGCAGGGUGCGGCUGCCCAGCAGGUAGCCACAGGGGGCUAUGAAGUGCCCCGGCCCAGUCACGACUGGCUCGAGGUGGCUCCCAACGUCCGGUAAUGGCUGCCCGCCUGCCGGAUGUCUGCUUGUGCCAGGAGAGUGCGGCUGGCAGGGCUGGAGGCCGCUGCUGCGGGACCCUGUGAGGAGGGUCUGAGGGUGGCAAGUGAUGAUGGCAGGGGGAGCUGAGCCAAAGAGAUGGGGCAGACUUAAGGAGAGCCUUGGGCAUGGAAGAAGCAGAUGGCUCCUGCUCAUUACACCCCCGGGGGUGUCUGUGGAGAGGUGUGAAACUGAGAAAACAUAGGGUGCCUGGAGCCAGUGCCUCAGUGAGGUGCUGGCUUCACAGAGCUGAGCUGGGGGCAGGCCGGGGCCUGUGGAGGACUGUGGGAGCGUGUGGUGGAGGGGUGCGCUACGCACUCCCCAGUCGUGCUGCUCCUGCAGAGGAGAUAUGCCUGAGGAGAGCCAAAGGCAGUGUGUGCAGCGGGAGCAACCAUGGUACUCAACAGAUGCCACAGCGAUGA